rnacentral:lncRNA from 1 species
GGGCGCAGCGCCGGCACGAAGGCGCGCGCCGCAGAACUGUUUCCUCAGCCGCGUGCCGGGGAACUAACUGUUUCCUCAGCCGCGUCCAGCCUCGCAGCACUGCUCUUCUGCUUGCUACUCCAGCGAAGGGACAUGCCUGCUGGCCAGGACGCUUAGUGGGCCUCGUAACCUGGCGAGUGUGUGCCCGCGCGUGUCCACCCUGCCCCCGGCCGGUGCGCCCCGCGCGCCCAAACCCGGCCGGCGACCACUGCGCGCCGGGCGCUUCCAAACUGCUCCUGUCCAGAGGCAUCCCUCUUUCGGCUUUCUCCAUCCCGCGUCCGCUUCCGCACCCGAGAGCGACAAGCAAAAAAGAUUCAGUGCAACUCAAGGACUGGUUUGUUAUACUCAAAAUGUACCAGGAACAGGAACAAAAGUAUUUUAUAAAAUAAUUAAUUUUUAUGGGCUAUGAGUCCCAAAUGGUUAUGUAAUCAAAGUGGAAGCAGAAAAGCAUGGCUUAGAAAAUAAUUGGUCAUGUCAUGUCACGCUUAACACAUGUGCAGACUCUGCCCUCCAGGUUGCAGUGCGAUGGUGUGAUCAAUGCUCAUAGUAGCUUCAAACUCCCAGGAUCAAGUGAUCCUCCUAAAUAAACCUCCUGAGUAGCUGGGACUACAGCUUCCACCAUGGGAUGAUACAGCAUGAAGGCCCUCACCAGAUAUGCACCCCUUGAUUUUGGACUUCCCAGACUCCAGAACUUACAUUUUCAUGCUGCUGAUAAAGAUGUACCCAAGACUGAACAAUUUACAAAAGAAAGGUUUAAUUGGACUUACAGCUCCAUGUGACUGGAGAAGCCUCACAAUCAUGGUGGAAGACAAGGAGGAACAAGUAACAUCUUACAUGGAUGGCAGUAGGGAAAAAGAGAGAGAGCGAGCUUGUGCAGGGGAAUGCCUCUUUUUAGAACCAUCAGAUCUUAUCUCUGUGGUUACUCUGUGAAUUGGUCUGUACAGGCCCACUUGAGUACAGAUGAGCCAUUUCAGCUAAGCCUACAAGACACUUCCAGCUAAACCUAGCCCAAAUUGCCAACUUGCAGAAUUAAUCUGGGCUAUCCCUGUGACUUGCUUUGACUAACGGAAUGUGACAGAAUGACGUUGUGCAACAUCCAAAUCAGGACUUAAGAAACUGUAGGCAGCCAUCAUGCUGUGAACGCAAGCUGUGUGGAGAGACUAAGUGGAGGUGAAUGGAGUCAGUUCAGUCAACAGCCCUACCUGAUAUUUCAGUCCAUAACUAGCCCUGUGUGUCAGCCCUGUGAACAGGUCGUCUUGGACUUUUCACCCCAGUUGAGAAUAAUGACUACAUCCUCAGCUGAUAGCACAUGGAACAGAGGAACUACCUAGCUUAGCUGGGCCCAUAUUGCAGAAUUGUGAGAGAUCAUGAAAAGUUGUGUUUUUUUUAUAACUAUACAUUUAUUUAAUAAAAAUUUCAGUAAUA